CACCACUCAAGCUAUGCUUGGUAUUGGGUGCCGUCCUUAGUUGGGCGCGCCUUAAAGACCUCGGCGAGGCCUCACCGGCUUUAGGCGUAGUAGAAUUUAUUCGAACGUCUGUCAAAGGAGAGGAUUUCUGCCGACUGAAACCUUUUAUUUUUUCUA
rnacentral:misc_RNA from 1 species